UCUCCACCCAGUCCAAAAGAGAGCCUCCUCUGGCUGCCAGAAGAAGACAGUCUCUUCCUGGCUGCUUCGAAUCAAGAUGUAGAACUCUCAACUCCUUCUCCUGCGCGCCAUGUCUGCCUACGUGAAGCCACGCCUCUUGCCAUGAUGACAUCAGACUAAAGCUCUGAAACUGGUAACAGGCCAUGUUGAGCAGCACUCUACUCAGAGUGAAGAAUUCUGUCUGCAGUCCUCACUGCUUGCCCUGGACCCCGGUCACAGGAGCAUGCUGCACCUAAGAAGACUGGCCGGAAGAACACCAACCACUAUUUUAAUGUCGGAAGCACUAUCGCAACCGUCAGAGGCAUCCCAGACCCAGGAUUCCUCCAGGCCAGUGCCAACACUGUACAACAAUGUCAGAGAAGACAGAAGAAAGCGUCCUGACUCACAGAGGAAAUCAAACGCGAAGGCCUCUGCAUGCCUGGCAGAGCCAACAAAGUCAGGAAGUUCAAGUGACAAGUGUCAGCUCCUGGUGGCUCCAAACAAAAGCACCACCCCCACCCUGAGAAACUGAAGCCUCAGUGUUACAGCAAAAGGUACAAAAGACAAACCAACAAACAACUCGCGGUGCCUUAAAGACACACACAACUUCCGGCUCCACCACCUCUGUGUGGAAGACUUUUUCCUCAGCCAUGCUGUGGCCCAGUACUUGGCCCACACAGACAUCUGCUGGAUAUCCGUAUAUAUCUGGACUAGCAUCGGACUAGGCCUUGUCACUGGCAGGGGUAGUGAAGGGCAGGGUGUGUGCAGUGCUAUGACACAUGUGAGCCACAGGCAGGCAAGGCAGAGACUGGGAGCCCUGGAAGGCGUGCAGCACCCAGGGAGAGUGGGCACCGGUAAACCAGGAGAAUGGGCGCAAACAGGGUUUAUGUAAAGGCGCAUGUGAAGGCCUGUGAUGAAACCGGUACAUUGUGAGCAAACUGCUUAUGUUCUCAGGAUCCCCUAAACAAUAGAUAAAUUCAAACCCAGGCAUGGGUGUACGUGCCUGUAGUCCUGGCACUGAAGGCUCGGCCACAGGACUUUGGGUUUGAGGCCAGCCUGGGCUACAUAGUUAGAACCUGUCCAACAAUAAAAUAAGUAAAAAUUCCUAUUCUGUA